rnacentral:rRNA from 1 species
UCGAACGCGAAAGAAGCCUUCGGGUUUCAAGUAGAGUGGCGUCCGGGUGAGUAACACGUAGGUAAUCUACCUUCGGGUGGGGAAUAACGCAGGGAAACUUGCGCUAAUACCGCAUAAUGCAGCGGCACCACAUGGUGACAGUUGUUAAAGCGGGGGAUUUUCGAACCUCGUGCCUGAAGAGGAGCCUGCGGCAGAUUAGCUAGUUGGUAAGGUAACGGCUUACCAAGGCGACGAUCUGUAGCCGGCCUGAGAGGGCGGUCGGCCACACUGACACUGACAUACGGGUCAGACUCCUACGGGAGGCAGCAGUCGGGAAUUUUGGGCAAUGGGCGAAAGCCUGACCCAGCAACGCCGCGUGAAGGAUGAAAUCCCUCGGGAUGUAAACUUCGCAAGAAUGGGAAGAAUUAGCGAGUAUUAAUACUGCUCGUGAUGACGGUACCAUUUGUAAGCUCCGGCUAACUCCGUGCCAGCAGCCGCGGUAAUACGGGGGGAGCAAGCGUUGUUCGGAUUUACUGGGCGUAAAGGGCGCGUAGGCGGCCAGCACAAGUCAGUUGUGAAAUCUCCGGGCUUAACUCGGAAAGGUCAACUGAUACUGUGCGGCUAGAGUGCAGAAGGGGCAACUGGAAUUCUCGGUGUAGCGGUGAAAUGCGUAGAUAUCGAGAGGAACACCUGCGGCGAAGGCGGGUUGCUGGGCUGACACUGACGCUGAUGCGCGAAAGCCAGGGGAGCGAACGGGAUUAGGUACCCCGGUAGUCCUGGC